rnacentral:lncRNA from 10 species
UGAAGAACUACACAGAGGGAGACAACAAUGUCAUCACUAAAACCGUUCAGAAUAAUAUCCUACGUUUUGCAACACCUGUUUUGUUCCUCCUCUCUGAAAACAUUUGAAUUUCCUUCUUUGCCACCACCAUUACAUCUCUGGGCAACUCCAAGGAGAAACUGGGCCAUCAGCAGUCAUAGUGAAUGGGAGUUAUAGUUCAUGGAACUGAAAUGUAUGCAUUCAAUGAACACUGUCCAGCACUAACCCCAUGGCAGGCCCUGUGCAAGACGCAAGGAUUGAAGUUCAUGAGAGACAGUCCCAGGCCAUAGGGAUCUUCCAGGUGAGAGGAGAGGCUGAGCAAACAGGUUCUGUGAUACACAGGGUGGUAAAACCUCCUUGGAGGAAUGAGAGGAAGCAUUGGAAAUAAAUGAGCAACUGUCUGAAGUAGGCACAAGGGUAAUCUGCAGAGAGAAGUGUGUCUACUGGGUUCUGAUGUAUAAUUAGGGGAUUUCUGGUUGGAUGCUGUAGGCACUAGGGCUGAGUGAGAUGAUGCUGAAAACUUGUUUGAUGGCAUAUUGUAUUUCUGAUGCAUUUUUUUCUUUUGUAGGUAAUGGUAAAUGGCCAAAAUGCUUACAGCUUUCCCCACCGACUCCCACCAUCUUAUGUGAAGAUGGUGCAAGUGUGGAGAGAUGUCUCCCUGACCUCAGUGUCUGUCUGUAAUUGAUGAAAUGAUCACAUUCCUCAUGGUUAAAGAAUCCCUGUUUCUGUGCGACCAUGGCAUUUCCAGAGCCUGCUAACAGAACGAUCACUCCUCACCCCUUCCUCUACACUUGGUCAUUAAAACUUCACCAAAUUUUCCAGAAUCUGGUUCUUACUUUCAUGGAGAAAAAGACAAAGUGGCACAAGGACACAAGUGACACAAGGCCACUGUGAUGUCUGAGAUUACAUAACGAAGACAUCCUUUUAUGUCAGCCCGUACUUUACGUCAGACACUCUGAACCAAAAUUCCUCCUUCAUUGUAGAUGACUCACUCCAGUGAAAUGUUGGGUAGCUGUUUACAACCUCACAGGCAUAAUUGAUUUUGGGGAGAAGCUUUGUAAUUUGAGGAAAGUCAUAUGAAAUGUCUUCAUUCUUGCACUCAUUCUAAGGAUGUUUCCUGUGUCUUAAUACUGUGUCUGGCGUUGUGCAGGAAGCACUGAAAAAGCCGAGGAAAUACUGACCAAGUUUGCACCUGAAAUUUUGUUUUGUUGUUGUUCUUUGAGACAAGUUCUUGCUCUGUCAUUCAGGCUGGACUGCAGUGGCACCAUUAAGGCUCACUGCAGCCUCGACACCCUGGGCUCAAAAAUUCCUCCUGCCUCAGCCCCCCAAGUAGGUGAGACCACAGGUGAGCACCACCAUGGCCAGCUAAUUUCUGCAUGUUUUUUUUGUAGAGAUGGGGUUUUGCCAUGUUGCCCAGGCUGGUGUCGAACUCCUGAAGUCAAGCAAUCCAGCAACCUCGGCCCACCAAAUUGCUGGCAUUACAAGUGUGAGCCCCUGUGCUUGGCCUAUACCUGAAAAUUUCAAUCCAAGCCAUAGUUAGAGAACCACAAGAGUUCAAUAAUUUCCCUCAAAAAAUCCCUUUGUCAUGUUCAAAAGAACUGCCAGAUUUUUCUAUUUUAUGUGGGCAGAAUCCUGGAUCUCCUCUUUGGAAAUAAAUGGUCAUAGUUUUAGAUCGGAAAAUAUGUCAUUUAUUGGUGGAAUGAACACAAUUCAUUCACAUGGACACAGUGAGCCGACCCUGCUUUGCUGCUGCUACCGUUGGCAUUGCAGAACCGGAAACCUCCCCAAC